GUAUCACAGACACUCAGAAUUUCAUUUAGGUGAGACUUGAACCUUGGAGUAGAAAAUGUGAGAUUAUUUUUUGGGCUCAGACUGCCUGCAAUCACUAGCAUGCUCCCAACAACUGAGUGAACCAUUACAAGCAGGAGACUGCUUUUGCAGUUUUUUUUUUUGCCUGCAUUUGGUACUUAAGACCAUCUCUUGACAGAAUAAAUUGCCUCAAUCCCAUGGCCUUUCACUGAGCUGGAACAACCACCUGUGAGUUGUCAUUUAUAUGUUUCUUAUUACAGAUAUUCAUCAUGUAUCAGAAGUCUUUCUGUGUCAAACAUCCAGCAAAGAUUUCUUCAGGAAAUGGCCUUGUGAGAAAAAGUCUUUUUUCUUCUAAAUGCUGUAAGAGCUAUUUGCAAAUGCUUGAAAUUCAGCUAAGCUAUGCCACAGAUCCUGCCAGUUGCCUGCCACAAAGUUAAAGGUUCCCUGAAUACGUUCUUCCAGAGUUUGAGUUGUGUUCCAUCAGUGUUUCUACUGCUCUUGAUCAAGACAAGGAAACCACCUCAAAUUACAACUGGAAGUCACUUUAAGUUGUUGUUCUCUCAUAUUUUCUUUCAAGGUGAGUACAAAUUUAUGUUCUGAGAAGCCUAAUUAAUGUUAACUGCAUAUGGAGAAAUGAUGGGCUUGCUUGUUUCAGCUGUCCCUAGGGGUAUGCCCUUCCCAACUGAAUUAAGUUGCCACUGUGUUUCACUAAUGUGCAUCUGAUGCUUAAUGAAUUGGAGUGUUAUUACCCUUGAUUAGAGGUGGAAUAAAAUUGAGUCCAAG
rnacentral:lncRNA from 1 species